ACGCACGUAGUGGCCCUGAGUAAAGAAUCUUCGGACGGGGGUUCGACUCCCCCCGCCUCCACCA
rnacentral:tmRNA from 1 species